GGAAUAUUGGUCAAUGGAGGCAACUCUGAACCAGCCAUGCCGCGUGCAGGAAGACGGCCCUCUGGGUUGUAAACUGCUUUUAUUCGGGAAUAAACCUACUUACGUGUAAGUAGCUGAAUGUACCGAAGGAAUAAGGAUCGGCUAACUCCGUGCCAGCAGCCGCGGUAAUACGGAGGAUCCAAGCGUUAUCCGGAUUUAUUGGGUUUAAAGGGUGCGUAGGCGGCCUAUUAAGUCAGGGGUGAAAGACGGUAGCUCAACUAUCGCAGUGCCUUUGAUACUGAUGGGCUUGAAUGGACUAGAGGUAGGCGGAAUGUGACAAGUAGCGGUGAAAUGCAUAGAUAUGUCACAGAACACCGAUUGCGAAGGCAGCUUACUAUGGUCUUAUUGACGCUGAGGCACGAAAGCGUGGGGAUCAAACAGGAUUAGAUACCCGUG
rnacentral:rRNA from 1 species